UGCCACCACCCCUAACUGAUCUUCCCCAGGGGCUGUUGCCGGUGCCAGGGGCCGGUGCUCAUUGUUUCAUGGCAUCACUAAUAGAGCACAAGAAAAGGACAUAGGCCUAAUAAUGGCAGCCGGUUACAACCCCGCAGAAUUAGCAGAAUUACUAGAAGACACUGCAUGUACAAUCGGGCCAAAUCAGACGGAGAAAGCGGAAGAGGAAGAGGUGGAAGUUGAAGAGGGAGGGAAAAAGGAGGAGGGGAUGGGGAGUUCCGAAUCAAAAUAGAACGAGACGAGGACGGGGGAAGGGGGGGUGGGGGGAAGUGGUAUACAGAAAAACAAACUAA